CCUACGGGGGGCACCAGUAGGGAAUCUUCGGCAAUGGACGAAAGUCUGACCGAGCAACGCCGCGUGAGUGAAGAAGGUUUUCGGAUAGUAAAACUCUGUUGGUAGAGAAGAACGUUGGUGAGAGUGGAAAGCUCAUCAAGUGACGGUAACUACCCAGAAAGGGACGGCUAACUACGUGCCAGCAGCCGCGGUAAUACGUAGGUCCCGAGCGUUGUCCGGAUUUAUUGGGCGUAAAGCGAGCGCAGGUGGUUUAUUGAGUCUGGUGUAAAAGGCAGUGGCUCAACCAUUGUAUGCAUUGGAAACUGGUAGACUUGAGUGCAGGAGAGGAGAGUGGAAUUCCAUGUGUAGCGGUGAAAUGCGUAGAUAUAUGGAGGAACGCCGGUGGCGAAAGCGGCUCUCUGGCCUGUAACUGACACUGGGGCUCGAAAGCGUGGGGAGCAAACAGGAUUAGAUACCCGUGUAGUC
rnacentral:rRNA from 1 species